UACGAAGGGGGCGAGCGUUGUUCGGAUUUACUGGGCGUAAAGGGCGCGUAGGCGGCUUGUCAAGUCACUUGUGAAAUCUCUGGGCUUAACCCAGAACGGCCAAGUGAAACUGACAUGCUAGAGUGCAGAAGGGGCAAUCGGAAUUCUUGGUGUAGCGGUGAAAUGCGUAGAUAUCAAGAGGAACACCUGAGGUGAAGACAGGUUGCUGGGCUGACACUGACGCUGAGGCGCGAAAGCCAGGGGAGCAAACGGG
rnacentral:rRNA from 1 species